UUGUGACUUAGUGGCGGACGGGUGAGUAACGCGUGGGUAACCUGCCUCACACAGGGGGAUAACAGUUGGAAACGACCGCUAAUACCGCAUAACCCGCUAGGGCCGCAUGGCCCGGACGGAAAAGAUUUAUCGGUGUGAGAUGGACCCGCGUUGGAUUAGCUAGUUGGCAGGGUAACGGCCUACCAAGGCGACGAUCCAUAGCCGGCCUGAGAGGGUGAACGGCCACAUUGGGACUGAGACACGGUCCAA
rnacentral:rRNA from 1 species